rnacentral:rRNA from 1 species
GAGAAAGUAAGUGACGACUGCAGAUGAACAACUAGGCAAACUUAAAGGAAUUGACGGACUCCUACGGGAGGCAGCAGUGGGGAAUUUUGCGCAAUGGGGGAAACCCUGACGCAGCAACGCCGCGUGGAGGAUGAAGUCCCUUGGGAUGUAAACUCCUUUCGAUCGGGACGAUUAUGACGGUACCGGAAGAAGAAGCACCGGCUAACUCUGUGCCAGCAGCCGCGGUAAUACAGAGGGUGCAAGCGUUGUUCGGAAUUAUUGGGCGUAAAGGGCGCGUAGGCGGUGCGGUAAGUCUGCAGUGAAAUCCUGGAGCUCAACUCCAGAACUGCCUUUGAUACUGGCGAGCUUGAGUUCGGGAGAGGUGAGUGGAACUGCGAGUGUAGAGGUGAAAUUCGUAGAUAUUCGGAAGAACACCAGUGGCGAAGGCGGCUAUCUGGACUGGUAUUGACGCUGAGGCGCGAAAGCGUGGGGAGCAAACAGGAUUAGAUACCCUGGUAGUCCACGCCGUAAACGAUGAGUGCUAGACGCUGGUAGGUUUACCUAUCGGUGUCGCAGCUAACGCAUUAAGCACUCCGCCUGGGGAGUACGGUCGCAAGGCUGAAACUUAAAGGAAUUGACG